GAGAACUCAAGUCUCAAACCACAGACAGGAAGCCGAGAGAGGAAGUGUUGACUCUCAGAGACGUACCUCCUCCAGCAAGGCAACACCUUCUAAUUUCCCCAGCCAGCAGGCACUGGGGACCAAGUAUUCAGAUACUGGAGACUUGUGGGAGACAUUCAAACUACCACAUAGAGGUGCCCGUGUCCUUCAACGCUGACAGCAGCCAGCAGCCUCCACAGAGGAGUCAUUAGAAAAGAAAAUACUUCCGUACUGAGGCUAUCAAAGGCUGAAUAGCAGCACCCCGACCUGGAGGAUCAUUCCCUCUCAUGUGUUUUCUGAUGGUUUGGCAACGCUGCUUCCCAAACAUCUGCAGUAAACAUCCCCCACCACAGGUGUGUGCCUCAUGUGGUCAUCAGGUGACUAAAACUGAGGACUGCAGUCACUCUGUGGCCUGGGUGCUCCCAGGCCAGCUCUCUGGACCCACUUUGGUCUGUGACCCAAUUUGAGGCCAUUAAAGGUAUGGCAGCUGGGGCUCAUGGCCUUGGAAAGUGGGGACAUUGUCUCUUUUAUAGCACAGCCCCUGAAUGCCAACCUGCUGUUCAUUUAGCUCCCACACAUCCUGCUUCUGCUUCACAGAUGAGAAAAAAAAUGAGGCACCGAGUAGUGAGAGAUUAGAUCCUGAGUUCGUCGGUUUCCAUCUUGGAGCUGAAGAGGACGGACGAACAUCGCUUCUCCUUCUGAAAUGGGCUGAUUCUAUGAAAUCACUCCUUCCAAAUUUAUACAGACUGCUGAUGAGAGCACUGCCUCUCUAAUUUCCGUGGGAUGUGAAGGGUUUUCUAGCAAUUUGCAGGCCGAGCUGAAUGCCUCUUUGUGCUUUCCAGUGUGUCUAAAAUAAAAUCUGUGGAAUUGUAGCGGGGGGGGGGGGGGGCUUCUGAAAAAGUCUCCGUGAAAGGAAAGUGCCUUCCUCAUAGCCUCUGCUCCACAAAGGGAAAAAGAUCUUGACAUUUUCCCAGGCGUGAAUGAGCAGGUGCAGCAAUUGUAAAAAGGUAAUGGCAGGGUUUCCCAAGAGCUCUGGGGCAAGGACAGGCUCACGACUGAAUUUCUCAAUGAGCUUUGCAGGGGAGGAUAUGUGGGCUGAAGUCUCGGGUGCCGGUAUGUCUUUUAGGCGAGGGACAAAAGGCUGAUUUCCUGGGUCUCUUCCUCUGUUCCUUUUCAGUGCUCUGAAGACCUGGUCUGCUAUGAAUCUGAGUACCAAUGUGCAUAAUGUGCAUCUGCAGGCACGUAUGAGUGUAUCUGUCUGUCUACCUAUCAUUAUCAUCUAUAUCAUAUGUAUCUAUGUAUAAUCUAUGUAGUUAUCUAUGUAUCUACCUACCUACCUAUCAUUACCAUCUAUAUCACAUCUAUGUAUUAUCUAUCUAUCUAUCUAUCUAUCUAUCUAUCUAUCUAUCUAUCUAUCUACCUAUCUAAUUUAUCACAUAUAUCUAUAUAUAAUCAAUCUAUCUAUCUAUCUAUCUAUCUAUCUAUCUAUCUAUCUAUCUAUCUACCUAUUUAUCUAUCAUUAUCAUCCAUAUUAUAUGUAUUGAUGCAUACAUAUAAUAUGCAUAAUCUAUCUAUCAUCUACCUAAUUUAUCUUCUAUCUUUCUAUCAUCUAUCUAUAUCUCAUCUAUCUACAUAUCUAUAAGUCAUCUACAUAUCUUCUAUUUCUCUAUACGUUUUCUAUCAUCUAUCUCCAUCGUCUUUCUCUCUAUUGGCCUGUCAAUCAAAACUUACCUCUCCUUCAUCCACGCGUCUGCUCGCUCCUCUCUCUUUUUAUUUUACUUGCUUGUUCUCUCUGCCUCUUCUCAUUUUUGUCUUGCUGGGCUGAAACUGCUUGUCUUCCUGGGAAAGAUGAAUAAUGAAUCAGUGUUUCCCACCUGUGGUCUGUCAAUCUUCUUCCUGAGUGGACUGUGAACUGUUAGCUUCAUCAAAUUAAAAAUUCUAGUUCUGCCCUGGAAGAUGAGACAUUCAUCUAUAAUGGUUCCUAAGGGUUUUCAGAAAUUCCAAGAGAGUUGAACAGUACUGCUCACAGUGAGGGCCUUGUCUUCUGAAGGCCCUUGGGGGCUCUCGGUGUGCUCCUCAAGGGGAUGGCCUCAAGUACCUGAUGCAUUCAGUUUUCUUUGCCUCCUGAGUUGUGGCUGGGGUUUGGUAGCUGUAGAGUCCCAUAGAGUUCUUAAUAUAGUAUUUUUAUUAAUUCUUUCAGAAUUUCACACAGUGUAUUGUGAUCAUAUUUAUCCCACAUUGCUUCUAACUCCUCCCAGACCCAUCUCUGUCUCCUCACCCAUUUCUAACUUCUUGUCCUCACAAGAAACAAAAGAAAAACCCAACCCGUUGAGUGCAGAGUGUGCUGCCCAUAUGCUCAUGGGUAUGGUCUCUCCACUGGAGUGUCACUCAUCUUCCAGGAGCCACACCCUCUCACAGAAGCCAUUGUCUGUCAAUAGAUCAGUGAUGGGCCAACGGAAGAGAUUUUGUCAUGUUCGCAACAUACUGUUUUGCUUUGCUCCUUUCUGAACCCUGCCCAGAAUCUUUGGUCUCAUAUUCUGUGCUGGUCCCUGAGCUCUGUCUCUGUCUCUCUGUGGCUGUGUGUCUGUCUCUGUCUGCCUGUCUCUGUCUCUGUCUCUGUCUCUGUCUCUGUCUCUGUCUCUGUCUCUCUCUCUCUCUCUCUCUGAAUGUGUCAUUUGUGCCCUUGAUGAGUUGUGAAUUCUUCAGUUGUUAACUGUUGUCCACUUCACAAAGAAACUUCUGUGAUGAGGCCCGGGGACUGCACUAAUUAUGGACAUGGAGAUAAGAGUUUAGAAGGCAGUUUGAUAUUAUGUCCAUUGAGCUAAAUAUUGGCAAUAGGCUCAGCCCUGGUGCGAGUUACAUGGUGGUUCCCUUAACAGUAUAUCUUCCUUAAGGAGUUUAAAGUCUGACAAAGGAGACAUGCCUUUUUUUUUUUUUUAAAGCAAAUGUACUCACUCAACCACAGGCGUUUUGGAGAGCAAGGCAUCCCUGUCUCCCCCCAGCCUUGUUUGUGCUCCUAGUCUUAGUAGCUACAGCUAAGUUUGUUAAGAGCAUUUAGUGCACUCAGGAGCAUUUAACAUAUGGCAGCACUCUUGAUCCUGACAGCAACCCAGCCAGGCAGGUCCUUUAGUAGCCCUGCUUUUCAGGACAGGGUGAGUAAAGAAGCCACAGUCCUUCUGAUGAGGAGUCACACACAUUCUGUUAGGAGAUGAAAUAGGGGAUUAUAGUAGUGAAUAUCUGUUCUACCUACCUUUUACUUUAAUAUCCUCUACUCAUAUCAGAAAAUAACCAAGAGAUAUUUAAAAAUAGGGCACAGAAUGAAAGAGAGCCAUGACUGCUGGAUGCGCUGUCUUUGCACCGAAGGAAGUAGGGGAGGUACUUGUGACCACACUCAGCUGCUGGCCUGAUCCUGAGAGCGUCUCCAAGAUACCCGUGGCUUGAGUUUUAUAUCCUGGGUGUUCUGAACCUUGCAAUGCCAACAAUGGUUUCCCAUCAUCGCCAACUCUCUUCCUCACAGAUACAAAAGACUGAUGUACCAUCUUCCCAUCUGUUCCCAUCUGACCUUCCCCUUAAAGUUUAGGGACAAAGUGUUAGCCAGCUUUUAGAUACUGUAUAAGAAGACAAAAGGAGCAGGGCAGUGUUGGCGCAUGCCUUUAAUCCCAGCACUUGGGAGGCAGAGGCAGGCAGGCAGAUUUCUGAGUUCGAGACUAGCCUGGUCUACAAAGUGAGUUCCAGGACAGCCAGGGCUAUACAGAGAAACCCUGUCUCAAAAAAAAAAAAAAAAAAAAAGGAAGAAGAAGAAGAAGAAGAAGAAGAAGAAGAAGAAGAAGAAGAAGAAGAAGAAGAAGAAGAAGACGACAAAAGGAUGUCUAAGGAAAAGGGUUGACUUGUGGGCAUGCUUUCCAUCCAUGGUCACUUUUGUUUUGGGCUUGUGUCCUCACACCGUGCCAUGGUGGGAUCACAUGAUACAGGAGGUCAGGCUGCCUCACGCCAGCCUGGAAACAAGAAGGAGAGAGCACAGGGUCCUAAUAGUAUCUGCAAGGGCAUGUGCCCAGUGACCUAACCUCCUGCCCAACCCCUUAUAACUUACACCUCCAUUCCACAGUGCCACAGGUUUGGGACAUAGCAUUUAAACCUGAUUCUUAAAAUGACAGCAGCUAGAACAGAGGUUGGUAGGAAAGGAAGGGAAGUUAUAGAUUAAAUCCUCAAGCCUCUGACAGCUUUGUUCCUCUGCUUUUGGCAAGUAGCGAUGACACAGAGAUGCUACCUCUGUAGCAGUAUCUAGAUCACAUGCCACCAACCACAGAAGCUGCUGUCCAUGGUGCCCUUAGAAAGACCCAUUAACCUCACUUUCAUGUAGCCUACAUCUGGCUUCUGUUUAUAACCAGAGUACAGAGGAGGAAGGCCUCUCUAGUGCAGGAUAUUGACCCCAGGAUCUAAAUGUAGAAGUCAUGUGGGGUGAUUUUGCAUGUGUCCCUUCCUGAUGCCACUUGGAAUGGUGUAGGGCUCUCAGCAUGGAACAUUUUCAGGCUCCUCUUGUGUAUGCAACACACACACACACACACACACACACACACACACACACACACACACACACCAUCCACUCUAGAUAGCUUGCUUCCAGCAGAUGACUAAGCAGGGGGCAGCCAUGAGAUCCAGUAGCAGCUCUUUAUGGGAGCCAGUGUGGAAAUGUCAUGUAUCCAGGACACUGUUUUCAGGCACAACAGUUCUGGUGUGGGCCAAUGCUGUUUACUGCCAAGCCCACUUAGAACUCUCAGAGUUUUCCCUGCCAGGGCCUCCAUCUCUUCAAAUUCCUAGAGGAAGCCAUUGGUGAGGCAUGACAGACUUUGAGCACUAGAUGGCACUAAAGGUCCGUGGAACUUUUUUUGGGGCAGCUUUGAGAUCUUUAAUUCUGCCUUUAGAGGUGAAGAAUCCUUGCCAAAGAGAAGAGACCUCGACCAUAAAUUCCACACGCAGUAGCAGGUUCAUAAUGCACCGGAGUGACUGCAUGCAGUAUUUUUUCUCCCUGAGAAAUAAAAUUUCUCUUUCAAUGGAGAAGGUUGUUCCUUUACAUCUAACACGAGCUAAUGUUAAAUCUCUCUCUUAAGUAGCAGAGGAUGAUGGAGCCUUUAAUGUGUGCACUGACCAAGACACAGGGCUGCGUCUGCAGUGAAACGCAGACUGAUACCUUCAGGGACCGAGAAGGAGUAAGUCAUAUAUUCUGCAGAGAGAGGGCUGUUUCUCCUCUUAAUCAUGGACAUUUGACUUGUCAAAAAAAUGUUUUCUCAUUGAUUGCCCGAGACAGAAUGUACAGGCUAGAAAGACAAGCUUCCCAAAAACCUCCUUCACUUGGAAGAGAUGUUAAGGGAAAACUAGUGACUAAUAUCUUUCAUUUAAAACACAUUUGCCUGUUGGACAGUGUGACAAUAAUGUGUUGGUGGGACAGAGAUACAUUUAUUUUUAUUUUGAUUCUGCUUCUUAACUUCCCCUUGGUAUUACCUGAGAAGCAGGACUCAUGAACAUUAAAAUAAGUGCUAAAACGAGCCAACCUAUAAUACAAGCAUCCAGGAGUCAGAGGCAAGAGGACUAGGAAAUCAAAGCCCUUUCUGGCUACAUUUUGAGAUUGAGGACAGCCUGGACUGUAUCAUACACACACACAUACACACACAUACACACACACACACACACAUACCCCAAAAAAAGAAAAAAAAAAGAAAAGAAAGAAAAGAAAAAAGAAAUGGAACAUUAUCAGAAAAAUCUAUGUGUGCGUGUAUGUAUAUGUAUAUGUAUAUGCAUAUGUAUAUGAUGUAUAUGUAUAUGAUGUAUAUGAUGUAUAUGAUGUAUAUGUAUAUGAUGUAUAUGUAUAUGAUGUAUAUGAUGUAUAUGAUGUAUAUGUGUGUAUAUAUAUAUAUAUAUGUAUAUAUAUGUAUAUAUAUAUAUAUAUAUAUAUAUAUAUUGCCAUUCAUUCCUCUACCUCCCAGUUUAUUUCCAUUAUCAAUCCUUUUAUUAGUAGUGGCAUACAACAAAAUCACUGAAACUUCCUGAUUAUGAUGUUCUUUUUGGCACCUUAUUGGCGAACUCUUUGUUUAUCAAUUGCAAAAUGUGAGA
rnacentral:lncRNA from 1 species